rnacentral:SRP_RNA from 1 species
ACCAGGCGCGGUGGUGAGUGCCUGUAGUCCCAACGACUCAGGAGGCUGAGGUGGGAGGAUCGCUUGAGCCCAGGAGUUCUGGGCUGUAGUGCGCUAUGCCGAUCGGGUGUCCGCACUAAGUUUGGCAUCAAUAUGGUGACCUCCCGGGAGCGGGGGACCACCAGGUUGCCUAAGGAGGGGUGAACUGGCCCAGGUCGGAAACGAAGCAGGUCAAAACUCCCCUGCGGAUCAGUAGUGGGAUUGCGCCUGUGACUAGCCACUGCACUCCAGCCUGGCAACAUACCGAGACCCUGUCUCU